GCGAGUGAAGCGGCAAGAGCUCAAAUUUGAAAUCUGGCUCCUCCGGGGUCCGAGUUGUAAUUUGCAGAGGAUGCUUCGGGUGCGGUCCCCGUCUAAGUACCCUGGAAUGGGUCGUCAUAGAGGGUGAGAAUCCCGUCUGGGACGGGUGGCCGUGUCCGUGUGAAGCUCCUUCGACGAGUCGAGUUGUUUGGGAAUGCAGCUCUAAAUGGGUGGUAAAUUUCAUCUAAAGCUAAAUAUUGGCCGGAGACCGAUAGCGCACAAGUAGAGUGAUCGAAAGAUGAAAAGCACUUUGAAAAGAGAGUUAAACAGCACGUGAAAUUGUUGAAAGGGAAGCGCUUGCGACCAGACUCGCCCGCGGGGGUUCAGCCGGUACUCGUACCGGUGUACUCCCCCGUGGGCGGGCCAGCGUCGGUUUGGGCGGCCGGUCAAAGGCCUCCGGAAUGUAUCGCCCUUCGGGGCGUCUUAUAGCCGGGGGUGCAAUGCGGCCAGCCUGGACCGAGGAACGCGCUUCGGCUCGGAC
rnacentral:rRNA from 1 species